rnacentral:rRNA from 1 species
GGUGAGUAACGCGUGGGGAAUCUGCCUUUGAGCGGGGGACAACAUUUGAAAACGAAUGCUAAUACCGCAUAAAAACUUUAAACACAAGUUUUAAGUUUGAAAGAUGCAAUUGCAUCACUCAAAGAUGAUCCCGCGUUGUAUUAGCUAGUUGGUGAGGUAAAGGCUCACCAAGGCGAUGAUACAUAGCCGACCUGAGAGGGUGAUCGGCCACAUUGGGACUGAGACACGGCCCAAACUCCUACGGGAGGCAGCAGUAGGGAAUCUUCGGCAAUGGACGAAAGUCUGACCGAGCAACGCCGCGUGAGUGAAGAAGGUUUUCGGAUCGUAAAACUCUGUUGGUAGAGAAGAACGUUGGUGAGAGUGGAAAGCUCAUCAAGUGACGGUAACUACCCAGAAAGGGACGGCUAACUACGUGCCAGCAGCCGCGGUAAUACGUAGGUCCCGAGCGUUGUCCGGAUUUAUUGGGCGUAAAGCGAGCGCAGGUGGUUUAUUAAGUCUGGUGUAAAAGGCAGUGGCUCAACCAUUGUAUGCAUUGGAAACUGGUAGACUUGAGUGCAGGAGAGGAGAGUGGAAUUCCAUGUGUAGCGGUGAAAUGCGUAGAUAUAUGGAGGAACACCGGUGGCGAAAGCGGCUCUCUGGCCUGUAACUGACACUGAGGCU